UUCAUGUCACACAAUACUUUUCUGGUUGUCUUUAUUUUCUUGACAUCUUCACUCUACCUAGUGCGAUUACCGACAUUUAUAAGGCCUACAAAGCUUUACUUAACAAACUGAAAUUCCCACACAAAUUCAUUGUAGGACAAAUCCGUAUCUAUGGAAGUGUUGUGCAAAUAGUUUUGAUAAUAAGUUUCCUUGAUAGUUUCGUUUUGAGUUUACUUACUGAUAAAGUAUAUUUUAUUACAAUUUACAGCUUUUACAGCAGGAUCGUGGACAAAGAAAUUCAGUAGCAUUCGAGUUAUCACAUAGUGACGUACCUACAAAAGAUUGUGACUUGAAAUGCUGCAAAAAGAAUUCUAAGAAAAAUGCUGGACUUUCACUGACGAAAGUGAAGAAACUUUUAGGAAACAGGGGAACAGUACAUUCUGCCGUAGUGCUAGAAAGAUGUGAUGAUGGAUACAUCAUGGAACCUACGGAAAUAUGUAGUAGGUUACGGUUUGUCCUCAUUAAUACAUAGUUUUAGUUAAACUGUGAUUAAUUCAGAAGGAUAUAUUUAUAAAUGUAAGCCAAUAGUCAAUAAUUUAAAACUUAUCCAAGAAUGCUUUGACCAAAUGCAUAAA